rnacentral:miRNA from 1 species
UCUGUCAUUUAUUAGCUUAUAAGCUGUACAAAGCCAGGCUGUGGGCUGCAUUUGGCCUGAGGGUUGUAGUUUGCUGACCUCUGUUCUAGAC